CCUACGGGUGGCAGCAGUGGGGAAUAUUGGACAAUGGGCGAAAGCCUGAUCCAGCCAUGCCGCGUGCGUGAAGAAGGCCUUCGGGUUGUAAAGCACUUUCAGUGGGGAAGAAAGCCUUGGGGCUAAUACCCUCGAGGAAGGACAUCACCCACAGAAGAAGCACCGGCUAACUCCGUGCCAGCAGCCGCGGUAAUACGGAGGGUGCGAGCGUUAAUCGGAAUUACUGGGCGUAAAGCGCGCGUAGGCGGUCUGAUAAGCCGGUUGUGAAAGCCCCGGGCUCAACCUGGGAACGGCAUCCGGAACUGUCAGGCUAGAGUGCAGGAGAGGAAGGUAGAAUUCCCGGUGUAGCGGUGAAAUGCGUAGAGAUCGGGAGGAAUACCAGUGGCGAAGGCGGCCUUCUGGACUGACACUGACGCUGAGGUGCGAAAGCGUGGGUAGCAAACAGGAUUAGAUACCCAGUAGUC
rnacentral:rRNA from 1 species